UGAACUCAAAUUUGUAUGACAUUGGAACUUUCGCCUACAUUUGGCGCUAGGGGCGUUGUUCCAAUCCCAUUCAAAAUUGAGUUA
rnacentral:pre_miRNA from 1 species